GGAUACAACACCUCGCUCAAGAGACUGAAGUGGUGGACAGCUUGCUGUGAAAGAUGGAAGCGUUCUUCCUGCAAGUCUGGACAAGGCCAUAUUAAAUGGCUUCAUCUGUCACAAAUCGCUGGCCACGAAUGUAAAUAAUACCUU